rnacentral:rRNA from 1 species
GGGCCCGCACAAGCGGUGGAGCAUGUGGUUUAAUUCGAUGAUACGCGAGGAACCUUACCAGGGCUUAAAUGCAGAACGACAGACUGGGAAACCAGUCCUUCUUCGGACGAUCUGCAAGGUGCUGCAUGGUUGUCGUCAGCUCGUGCCGUGAGGUGUCGGGUUAAGUCCCAUAACGAGCGCAACCCCUAUCCUUAGUUGCCAGCGAGUAAUGUCGGGGACUCUAAGGAAACUGCCUGCGCAAGCAGUGAGGAAGGUGGGGAUGACGUCAAAUCAUCACGGCCCUUACGUCCUGGGCUACACACGUGCUACAAUGGCGCAUACAAAGGGCAGCUACCUGGUGACAGGGAGCGAA